AGAGUUUGAUCAUGGCUCAGAGCGAACGCUGGCGGCGUGCUUAACACAUGCAAGUCGAGUGCGCGCCUGUAGCAAUACAGGUGGCGCACGGCGCACGGGUGCGUAACACGUGGGUAAUCUGCCCUUCGAUGGGGAAUAACUCCGGGAAACCGAAGCUAAUUCCGCAUAACAUUCCUUGAACUUCGGUUUGGGGAUUCAAAGCCGUAAGGCGUCGGAGGAGGAACCCGCGCACGAUUAGCUAGUUGGUAGGGUAACGGCCUACCAAGGCUUUGAUCGUUAGCUGGUCUGAGAGGAUGGCCAGCCACACUGGAACUGAGACACGGUCCAGACUCCUACGGGAGGCAGCAGUGGGGAAUCUUGCACAAUGGGCGAAAGCCUGAUGCAGCGACGCCGCGUGGGGGAUGAAGCUUUUCGGAGUGUAAACCCCUUUCGACCCGGACGAAUGCCCCGCAAGGGGACUGACGGUACGGGUAUAAGAAGCCCCGGCUAACUACGUGCCAGCAGCCGCGGUAAGACGUGGGGGGCCAGCGUUGCUCGGAAUUACUGGGUGUAAAGGGUUCGUAGGCGGUGUGGCAAGUCGGGAGUGAAAUCUCUGGGCUUAACUCAGAGACUGCUUCCGAAACUGCUGUGCUUGAGUGUGGGAGAGGCGCGUGGAAUUGCAGGUGUAGCGGUGAAAUGCGUAGAUAUCUGCAGGAACACCCGUGGCGAAAGCGGCGCGCUGGACCACUACUGACGCUGAGGAACGAAAGCUAGGGGAGCAAACAGGAUUAGAUACCCUGGUAGUCCUAGCCCUAAACGAUCAGGACUUGGGGUGCCGCACGUUCGUGCGUCGUCCCGGAGCUAACGCGUUAAGUCCUGCACCUGGGGAGUACGGUCCCA
rnacentral:rRNA from 1 species